GACGAACGCUGGCGGCGUGCUUAACACAUGCAAGUCGAACGGAAAGGCCCUGCUUGUGUGGGGUGCUCGAGUGGCGAACGGGUGAGUAACACGUGAGUAACCUUCCCUUGACUGUGGGAUAACUUCAGGAAACUGUGGCUAAUACCGGAUAGGUGCUCCUGCUGGAUGGUGGUGGAUGGAAAGGUUCGGCGGUGGGGGAUGGACGCGCGGCUUAUCAGCUGGUUGGGGGGGUAGUGGCUUACCAAGGCUUUGAAGGGUAGCCGGCCUGAGAGGGUGACCGGCAACAUUGGGACUGAGAUACGGCACAGACUACUGCGGGAGGCAGCAGUGGGGAAUAUUGCCCGAUGGGCGGAAGCCUGAUGAAGCAACGCCGCGUGAGGGAUGACGGCCUUCGGGUUGUAAACCGCUUUCGCCUGUGACGAAGCGUAAGUGACGGUAAUGGGUAAAGAAGCACCGGCUAACUACGUG
rnacentral:rRNA from 1 species